rnacentral:rRNA from 1 species
AACAUCUAAGUACCCCGAGGAAAAGAAAUCAACCGAGAUUCCGAAAGUAGCGGCGAGCGAAAUUGGACUAGCCCUUAAGCUUUACACGCGUUAGACGAACGGUCUGGAAAGUCCGACGAUACAGGGUGAUAGUCCCGUAGUUGACGACGUGUGUUCAGUGAAAUCGAGUAGGGCGGGACACGUGAUAUCCUGUCUGAAUAUGGGGGGACCAUCCUCCAAGGCUAAAUACUACUGACUGACCGAUAGUGAACCAGUACCGUGAGGGAAAGGCGAAAAGAACCCCUGUGAGGGGAGUGAAAUAGAACCUGAAACCGUGUACGUACAAGCAGUAGGAGCAGGCUUGUCCUGUGACUGCGUACCUUUUGUAUAAUGGGUCAGCGACUUAUAUUCAGUGGCAAGGUUAACCAUCUAGGGGAGCCGUAGGG